rnacentral:rRNA from 1 species
GAUGAACGCUGGCGGCGUGCUUAACACAUGCAAGUCGAACGAUGAACCCCGCUUGCGGGGGGAUUAGUGGCGAACGGGUGAGUAACACGUGAGUAACCUGCCCUUAACUCUGGGAUAAGCCUUGGAAACGGGGUCUAAUACUGGAUAUUGACUUUUCCUCGCAUGGGGAUUGGUUGAAAGAUUUAUUGGUUUUGGAUGGACUCGCGGCCUAUCAGCUUGUUGGUGAGGUAAUGGCUCACCAAGGCGACGACGGGUAGCCGGCCUGAGAGGGUGACCGGCCACACUGGGACUGAGACACGGCCCAGACUCCUACGGGAGGCAGCAGUGGGGAAUAUUGCACAAUGGGCGAAAGCCUGAUGCAGCGACGCCGCGUGAGGGAUGACGGCCUUCGGGUUGUAAACCUCUUUCAGUAGGGAACAAGGCCAGUGUUUAGCUGGUUGAGGGUACUUGCAGAAGAAGCGCCGGCUAACUACGUGCCAGCAGCCGCCGUAACAC